GAUGAACGCUGGCGGCGUGCCUAAUACAUGCAAGUCGAGCGAACGGACGAGAAGCUUGCUUCUCUGAUGUUAGCGGCGGACGGGUGAGUAACACGUGGAUCACCUACCUAUAAGACUGGGAUCACUUCGGGAAACCGGAGCUAAUACCGGAUAAUAUUUUGAACCGCAUGGUUCAAAAGUGAAAGACGGUCUUGCUGUCACUUCUCGAUGGAUCCGCGCUGCAUUAGCUAGUUGGUAAGGUAACGGCUUACCAAGGCAACGAUGCAUAGCCGACCUGAGAGGGUGAUCGGCCACACUAGAACUGAGACACGGUCCAGACUCCUACGGGAGGCAGCAGUAGGGAAUCUUCCGCAAUGGGCGAAAGCCUGACGGAGCAACGCCGCGUGAGUGAUGAAGGUCUUCGGAUCGUAAAACUCUGUUAUGAGGGAAGAACAUAUGUGUAAGUAACUGUGCACAUCUUGACGGUACCUAAUCAGAAAGCCACGGCUAACUACGUG
rnacentral:rRNA from 1 species